GAUGAACGCUGGCGGCGUGCCUAAUACAUGCAAGUCGAGCGAACAGAUGAGGAGCUUGCUCCUCUGACGUUAGCGGCGGACGGGUGAGUAACACGUGGAUAACCUACCUAUAAGACUGGGAUAACUUCGGGAAACCGGAGCUAAUACCGGAUAAUAUAUUGAACCGCAUGGUUCAAUAGUGAAAGACGGUUUUGCUGUCACUUAUAGAUGGAUCCGCGCCGCAUUAGCUAGUUGGUAAGGUAACGGCUUACCAAGGCAACGAUGCGUAGCCGACCUGAGAGGGUGAUCGGCGACACUGGAGCUGAGACACGGUCCAGACUCCUACGGGAGGCAGCAGUAGGGAAUGUGCCGCAAUGGGCGAAAGCCUGACGGAGCAACGCCGCGUGAGUGAUGAAGGUCUUCGGAUCGUAAAACUCUGUUAUUAGGGAAGAACAAAUGUGUAAGUAACUAUGCACGUCUUGACGGUACCUAAUCAGAAAGCCACGGCUAACUACGUG
rnacentral:rRNA from 1 species